rnacentral:rRNA from 1 species
GAGGAAUAUUGCACAAUGGGCGCAAGCCUGAUGCAGCAACGCCGCGUGCGGGACGAAGGCCUUCGGGUCGUAAACCGCUUUUCUGGGGGAAGAGCAAGGACGGUACCUCAGGAAUAAGUCUCGGCUAACUACGUGCCAGCAGCCGCGGUAAAACGUAGGAGGCGAGCGUUAUCCGGAUUUACUGGGCGUAAAGCGCACGCAGGCGGCUCUGUUAGUCGGACGUGAAAGCUCUCGGCUUAACCGGGAGAGGCCGUUCGAUACUGCGGAGCUUGAGGUAGGGAGAGGAAUGCGGAAUUCCCGGUGUAGUGGUGGAAUGCGUAGAUAUCGGGAGGAACACCUGUGGCGAAAGCGGCAUUCUGGCCCUCACCUGACGCUGAGGUGCGAAAGCGUGGGUAGCAAACA